rnacentral:lncRNA from 1 species
GAGGAACUUGUAAUUUGAAAACAAAAAUAUGAAAAAAUAAAAUAGAACAUUAAGAGAAGGAAGAAAGAACAAAGAGAAGAAGAAGAGAGAAAAAGAAUAAAGAGGGAUGAGAAAGAAAUAACAGAAAAAAAGAGAUUGAGAGAAGAAACACACUUUUGGGAAGUACGCUUUGAAAACUCUCAAGAAAAGUCUCUCAAAAUUAACACAAGGCCUCUUUCUAAUCAUUUGAUAUAUAUUUCACUUGUGAUACAAAAAUUAAUUGAAAUUUUUUUGGUAGUUACUAGAUAUGGAUCUUUGAUCCUAGAGGAUUCAAACAAAAAGGACCAAGG